rnacentral:lncRNA from 1 species
GAAAUAAAGUUUCAAGAUAAACUCAUUGGUAUUAGGAAUUGACUCGGAAAACAGCUCAUUAGUUGAGAGAAUUUUUUUUUUUUGGGUUUUACAAAUUUAUAAAUGUGGAAAGCCUCUGUCUUAAAAUUUGAAAGUUUUGAUUAAGAAGUUUAAGGAUCAAAUUGAUAGAAUUUUUAAAUAAAAAAGAGUUAAAUUUAUUGAAUUAUUUAGAUUUAGGAACACAUUUAUAGAAUAUGUAAGUAUUGAUGACUAAAUAUGUUAUUAUACCAGUUAGAAAAAGUUUUCCGUUAUCAAUUUAAUGGUGG